rnacentral:rRNA from 1 species
GAUGAACGCUGGCGGCGUGCCUAAUACAUGCAAGUCGAGCGAACAGACGAGGAGCUUGCUCCUCUGACGUUAGCGGCGGACGGGUGAGUAACACGUGGAUAACCUACCUAUAAGACUGGGAUAACUUCGGGAAACCGGAGCUAAUACCGUAUAAUAUAUUGAACCGCAUGGUUCAAUAGUGAAAGACGGUUUUGCUGUCACUAAUAGAUGGAUCCGCGCCGCAUUAGCUAGUUGGUAAGGUAACGGCUUACCAAGGCUACGAUGCGUAGCCGAACUGAGAGGGUGAUCGGCCACACUGGAACUGGGACGCGGACCAGACUCCUACGGGAGGCAGCAGUAGGGAACCUUCGGCAAUGGGCGAGAGCCUGACGGAGCAACGCCGCGUGAGUGAUGAAGAUCUUCGGAUCGUAAAACUCUGUUAUUAGGGAAGAACAAAUGUGUAAGUAACUAUGCACGUCUUGACGGUACCUAAUCAGAAAGCCACGGCUAACUACGUG